rnacentral:rRNA from 1 species
GAUGAACGCUGGCGGCGUGCUUAACACAUGCAAGUCGAACGAUGAAGCCCAGCUUGCUGGGUGGAUUAGUGGCCAACGGGUGAGUAACACGUGAGUAACCUGCCCUUGACUCUAGGAUAAGUCCGGGAAACUGGGUCUAAUACUGGAUAGGAACGUCUACCGCAUGGUUGGUGUUGGAAAGAAUUUCGGUCUUGGCUGGACUCGCGGCCUAUCAGCUUGUUGGUGAGGUAAUGGCUCACCAAGGCGACGACGGGUAGCCGGCCUGAGAGGGUGCCCGGCCACACUGGGACUGAGACAGGGCCCAGACUCCUACGGGAGGCAGCAGUGGGGAAUAUUGCACAAUAGGCGAAAGCCUGAUGCAGCGACGCCGCGUGAGGGAUGACGGCCUUCGGGUUGUAAACCUCUUUCAGUAGGGAAGAAGCGAAAGUGACGGUACCUGCAGAAGAAGCACCGGCUAACUACGUG